rnacentral:rRNA from 1 species
GGGACCCUACGGGUGCCGCGUUCGGAAUGAGUACGAUUCGAACCACCUAACGAGGAACGAUCGGAGGGCAAGUCUGGUGCCAGCAGCCGCGGUAAUUCCAGCUCCAAUAGCGUACGUUAAAGUUGCUGCAGUUAAAAAGCUCGUAGUUGAACGUUCGGGUUCCGCGGGACGGGGCCGCCCCGCGAGGGACGGCGCCGCCCCGGGGCUCGUGAUAUCUCAUCUCGCCGCCCGUCGCGAGGCGGACGGAGGGAUGGAUGAGGUUACCUGGAAAAAAAUCGGGGCGAUCUAGGCGGGCGAACCUCGCCAACGAACGAUCGGACAUGGGAUAACGGAAGAGGGGCGUCGGCUCGACUUCGUCGGUUCCUCGGGCCGAGGCACGUACGGUGAAUAGGGACGGUCGGGGCCGCCCGUACCGGGUCGUGAGAGGUGAAAUUCUAGGAUCGACCCGAGACGAACCGCCGCGAAAGCAUCGGCAAGGACGCUUCAUUAAUCAAGAACGAAAGUCGGGGAUCGAAGACGAUCAGAUACCGUCGUAGUCCGACCGUAAACGAUG